UACGAGGGUCCCUAGCGUUGUUCGGAAUCAUUGGGCGUAAAGCGGGUGUAGGCGGUCUUUCAAGUCAGAUGUGAAAUCCCUGGGCUCAACCUAGGAAGUGCGUUUGAUACUGUAAGACUUGAGUACGGAAGAGGGUAGUAGAAUUCCUGGUGUAGUGGUGAAAUACGUAGAUAUCAGGAGGAAUACCGGUGGCGAAGGCGGCUACCUGGUCCAGUACUGACGCUCAGACCCGAAAGCGUGGGGAUCAAACAGG
rnacentral:rRNA from 1 species